rnacentral:rRNA from 1 species
UACGAAGGGGGCUAGCGUUGCUCGGAAUCACUGGGCGUAAAGGGCGCGUAGGCGGCGGCUCUGGUCGGGCGUGAAAUCCCCGGGCUCAACCCGGGAACUGCGUCCGAUACUGGCAGGCUUGAAUCCGGGAGAGGGAUGUGGAAUUCCAGGUGUAGCGGUGAAAUGCGUAGAGAUGUGGAGGAACACCGGUGGCGAAGGCGGCCAUCUGGACCGCAACUGACGCUGAGGCGCGAAAGCGUGGGGAGCAAACAGG